UCUCCUCCCAUUGUCUGUGUGUUUUUGUGUGUCUGUGCCCGUUAGCCUCAGGAGCCAUACGUAUUUGGGCAGGAGGCUCAGGCUGCCAUGCGGAGUGCACUGAACCUCUCAAACACCCGUUCUUCUGGAGCCUUGAGAAGGAGCUGCAGUUCUUUCAGGAUGUAAGUGACAGAAUAGAAAAAGAACCACUGGACCAGACAGCUGGACAGAGGAGGGAGGGCUGUUGUCAAGGGGGACUGGAGAGAGCACAUCACAGUACCACUGCAGACAGAUCUGCGAAGAUUUCCCUCCUACAG